UACGGGGGGGGCAAGCGUUGUUCGGAAUUACUGGGCGUAAAGGCUCGUAGGUGGCCAACUAAGUCAGACGUGAAAUCCCUCGGCUUAACCGGGGAACUGCGUCUGAUACUGGAUGGCUUGAGUUCGGGAGAGGGAUGCGGAAUUCCAGGUGUAGCGGUGAAAUGCGUAGAUAUCAGGAGGAACACCGGUGGCGAAGGCGGGACUCUGGGCCGAUGACUGACGCUGAGGAGCGAAAGCGUGGGGAGCGAACAGG
rnacentral:rRNA from 1 species